UACGUAGGGGGCUAGCGUUGUCCGGAAUUACUGGGCGUAAAGCGCACGUAGGCGGCUUUGUAAGUUAGAGGUGAAAGCCCGGGGCUCAACUCCGGAACUGCCUUUAAGACUGCAUCGCUUGAAUCCAGGAGAGGUGAGUGGAAUUCCGAGUGUAGAGGUGGAAUUCGUAGAUAUUCGGAAGAACACCAGUGGCGAAGGCGGCUCACUGGACUGGUAUUGACGCUGAGGUGCGAAAGCGUGGGGAGCAAACAGG
rnacentral:rRNA from 1 species